GGGUGAGUAAUGUAUCGGAACGUGCCCAGUAGCGGGGGAUAACUACGCGAAAGCGUAGCUAAUAGCGCAUACGCCCUACGGGGGAAAGCAGGGGAUCGCAAGACCUUGCACUAUUGGAGCGGCCGAUAUCGGAUUAGCUAGUUGGUGGGGUAACGGCUCACCAAGGCGACGAUCCGUAGCUGGUUUGAGAGGACGACCAGACACACUGGGACUGAGACACGGGCCAGACUCCUACGGGAGGCAGCAGUGGGGAAUUUUGGACAAUGGGGGAAACCCUGAUCCAGCCAUCCCGCGUGUGCGAUGAAGGCCUUCGGGUUGUAAAGCACUUUUGGCAGGAAAGAAACGUCGCGGGUUAAUACCUCGCGAAACUGACGGUACCUGCGGAAUAAACACCGGCUAACUACGUGCCAGCAGCCGCGGUAAUACGUAGGGUGCAAGCGUUAAUCGGAAUUACUGGGCGUAAAGCGUGCGCAGGCGGUUCGGAAAGAAAGAUGUGAAAUCCCAGAGCUUAACUUUGGAACUGCAUUUUUAACUACCGGGCUAGAGUGUGUCAGAGGGAGGUGGAAUUCCGCGUGUAGCAGUGAAAUGCGUAGAUAUGCGGAGGAACACCGAUGGCGAAGUCAGCCUCCUGGGAUAACACUGACGCUCAUGCACGAAAGCGUGGGGAGCAAACAGGAUUAGAUACCCUGGUAGUCCACGCCCUAAACGAUGUCAACUAGCUGUUGGGGCCUUCGGGCCUUGGUAGCGCAGCUAACGCGUGAAGUUGACCGCCUGGGGAGUACGGUCGCAAGAUUAAAACUCAAAGGAAUUGACGGGGACCCGCACAAGCGGUGGAUGAUGUGGAUUAAUUCGAUGC
rnacentral:rRNA from 1 species